AGCAACAAGCUCGGCUUCGCUUCUUCGAAUUGUAAAUACCAGGGAAGUUGGCAGUUGUGCCAUGGCACAAAACCUGUAGGAUUUAUGUGGGGUUAGACACAGAUGAUAGAAAGAAUACUUAGAGAUCAGCUGAUAAAAUUGUGUGUUGGUUGUUUAAGCAUUGUGGAAGUAAUAUUUAUAAGGACGGAUUUUUUUAUGUAAGUUGAAUAAAAUUAAAUAAGUUGGCAGGAUUUUAUCACUCAAUAUGUGAAAAAUAAACGACGACAAAUCUUAAACAUAUUAAUAUUCACUGAUAUUUCUUUAUUUAAUGUUUAUUUUUAUACCUAUUUUGUCUAAUCAGCAAAGUAUGUUUUCCUAUUUCAAAAAUAAAAAAUUAAAAAUUAAAAGCAAUGUAUGUUUGCCAAAUUGGUUUGAGAUUUUGCUGAUACCAGUGAAAGAGACGUGCCCGCUGAAUAUAAUAUUAUAUAUAUUGAUAAUAAAAACAAUAAAAUGCAGUUAAUUAAUUAAU
rnacentral:lncRNA from 1 species